rnacentral:RNase_P_RNA from 1 species
ACCGCAGACCGCCUUAUCGUCGUCCCGAUUUAUCGGGAGGGAGGAAAGUCCGGACACCACAGAGAAGCAUAGCGGGUAACGCCCGUCGGUGUUAGAAAUAACGCAAGGACAAGUGCAGCAGAAAGUAUGUACAGGUAAUGCUGUAGUGAAACCAGGUAAACUCUAUGCGGUGAAAUACCAAGUAUAUCAGCAUUUAAGGGCUUCUCGUCCGUUGUUGAAGGGUAGGUAGCUUGAGUCCAACAGUAAUGUUGGAUCUAGAUAAAUGAUAAGGCUCUGAUUUAUCAGAGACAGAAUCCGGCUUAUAGGUCUGCAUUUUUU